rnacentral:rRNA from 1 species
UACGGAAGGGGCUAGCGUUGUUCGGAAUCACUGGGCGUACAGCGCGCGUAGGCGGCCGGUCAAGUGCGGCGUGAAAGUCCUGGGCUCAACCCGGGGACGGCGCUGCGGACUGUCCGGCUGGAGUCCGGAAGAGGGUGGUGGAAUUCCGAGUGUAGAGGUGAAAUGUGUUGAUAUCGGAAGGAACGCCGGUGGCGAAAGCGACACACUGGGCCUUGUCUGACGCUGAGGCACGAAAGCCAGGGGAGCAAACGGG